GCAUUGGUGAGGAGUCUCACAACAGGACGAAACGGCCGUCCAGUGC
rnacentral:hammerhead_ribozyme from 1 species